rnacentral:rRNA from 1 species
AGAGUUUGAUCCUGGCUCAGAACGAACGCUGGCGGCGUGCCUAACACAUGCAAGUCGAGCGAGAAAGGGGUAGCAAUACCCCGAGUAAAGCGGCGCACGGGUGAGUAACACGUAGGUAACCUGCCUCCAAGACCGGGAUAACCCGUCGAAAGAUGGACUAAUACCGGAUAAGACCGCAGUCCCCUCGGGGAUCGGGGUAAAAGAUGGCCUCUGCAUGCAAGCUAUCACUUAGAGAUGGGCCUGCGUACCAUUAGCUAGUUGGUAGGGUAACGGCCUACCAAGGCGAAGAUGGUUAGCUGGUCUGAGAGGAUGACCAGCCACACUGGAACUGAGACACGGUCCAGACUCCUACGGGAGGCAGCAGUGGGGAAUCUUGCGCAAUGGGCGAAAGCCUGACGCAGCAACGCCGUGUGGGUGAUGAAGGCCUUCGGGUCGUAAAGCCCUGUCGGAGGGAACGAAUGUUCCCGGGGUGAACAAUCCCGGGAAGUGACGGUACCCUCAAAGGAAGCACCGGCUAACUCCGUGCCAGCAGCCGCGGUA